CUAAGGGUGUGUGUGAACCAAGGGAAAAUGCCUGCCCUUCUCUGCAGCUACCAAGGGUUUGUACCAGCGGGCUGCUCAGAGCUGAGCUUCGUUGUGCAGUGGGGCUCUGGCCUACACAGGACUUACACAGAGGGGGGAAGCUGCUUAGACAUCAGUUCAGGCUCAGUUUUAAGGCAAAGCAGGCUUUGCCUUUGUAUGACCGACUCUGUAUGGGAAUUAGACGUGUUUUUGCACUGUGUUUUUACAUUCUGUUUCAGUAGUACGUGUAUAAGAUAUCCAGAGGCACAGGAACUGAAACUGAAGAAAACAUUUGUGGGGUUCCACAGAGACGGAAGCUGCCACUGGUCUGCACGUGCGAAUCCUGCUGGUGCACUUUGGGGCUCAGAAGGAUAUAGCCUGCUGCUUGCUAAUAAUGAAAGCCAAACCUAAAACUGGCCAUAUUCAAAUUCCCAGUGCCCAGCAAAAUGGAGAGUGGGGACUUAAGGCAGAAGAGCGGGGCAAAACCAGAAGCAUUUUCAGAGGGCUGUCGGAUACCAGAAUCUCAUUUCUGGUUCAGGAAGUCUCCGAUUCAUGGACUGCUGCAGGAGAGGAUACUGAGGAAGUAUCACAACUUGCUUACCCUGAUCUAGCACUUCUCUAAGUUUGUGCCAUUGUUCAGUACUGGAGGAUACUGGGAUGGAUCUGCGGUCUCACCUGGUACAGUUCCGUGCACACAGUUGGCAAAGCUGUUUGUGGCCAUGAUGCACCUGGUCUCUUCUAUCCGGAGGGCAGGACCCUGGAGUUGUUUCUGCAUCUGGGUCCCUCACAGAGCUGCAGGACGCAUGAUCACACAGAAUCACAGAAUGGCCUGGGUUGGAAGGGACCUCAAGGAUCAUGAGUCUCCAACCCCCCUGCCGGGCAGGGCCACCAACCUCCCCAUUUACUAGACCAGGUUGCCCAGGGCACCAUCCAACCUGGCCUUGAACACCUCCAGGGAUGGGGCAUCCACAACCCCUCUGGGCAGCCCGUUCCAGCACCUCACCACUCUCCUGAGAACCACAAAUGGGGAAGACAAAUGCAUCUUCCUUUAUGAAAACACCCAGAUGCAAACUUGCUGGAGUUCAACUACAGGGGAUGUAUACACAUGUGUAGCGGACAAAGUUUUCCUCUCGUAUUUCUCUGCUGCUGAUAACUUCUGGUCAGCAGCUUUGUUGUCACCUAGGCCUCUCUUAAGGACAAAGACAUGAAGAGAAAUAGCACCGCUGGUUCCACUGGUCCUGUCAUGGGGAGGGACCAGGAGCCUAUGUAGGGAAUGAUCUACAGGGUUAAAAAAAGUCAUCUUCAUGAAUGAGGUAUUUUUGAAGACGAAAGCAGGAUCUGAAGUUGGAAACUUCAUCAUGGAGUGCGACCAUGGUGCAUACUGCUAUCUAGCCAGUGAGGUUUUUCUAUUAACACUGACCCAAAGAGAAGCUCCGAGGGAUGAAAGGGUUAUUACGUGACCGGACACCUUGGGUCACCUGGGGACUGUUCUCCUUCUCCAGAUACAGCCUAUUUUGAAACAAGGACACUUCACCUUUUCCUGUUGAAACUGUUCCUCUCUGUGAAAGAAACUCACAGGUAUGUUUGCCCACAGAACCUGAGUCAACUCAGAUGUGAGGAGAAGUGGGAGAUCUUCAUCUCUGCUCUUCUACAGCCAUUCCUGCUGUACUUGAUCUGAAAGAUAUGUGAAGUAAAACAUUAGCAAGAAUGCUGCCAACAAUGAGAUAAAUGAAGGAUGCUUAGUGGCGGAUAAUGCUGAAAGUUGAACUUCUUUGACCGAAGAGCUACAGCUUCUUCACACUGUGAAGACUGAAGUGUUUCCAUUCCUUAAAGGAGAAUAUAUGAGGAAAUUUGGGUGACUUUAAACGCUUGAAAGAAUUUAGAUAGUGCCAAAGCUAAGCAGUAGAUGAGUGGAAAAUUAGAACAUUGAAUUUUGUUUUAAAUCUCAUCUAAAUCACCUGAAGUCUUGAGUAGGUCUAAAACUCAGCUGAUGUGUGUUUAAAAUAGCUACCAGUGGGAUGGAUUUGUUGAUAUUUAUCUCGGGAAUGUUGUGCUGAUAAAUGUGUCAAGUUCUCACCUAUUACAGUAAUAACUGUACCAUAUAUGGAUGUAGACAAAUAAAAAGGUGUUUUAAAUGGCUUGUAAAACUUGGCAGAGGACAAAUCUCAUGAAUGCUUCUAGUUGAUCACUAGGCUAUCAGAACUCCCUUUACCAGUGUUGGGUGGUUUUCUACAUUGUUUCUGUGCAAAAUACCUGUGCCUCCCAUGAGCUGUGAAUCCAGUUUUUCAAGAGAUCAUUAAACAUGAAAGUACUAAACAUCCUAAUUCUUUUCCCCUAAAGUUAUAUCUCAGCAUUGUCUUCAUCAGUAGCCUUGUCUGCAGGAAGUGUAAAGUUUCCUGCUAUGAUUGUUUGAAUGCUGCCAAUUAUCAGAUCUGCUUUUGGCAGCUUUCCCCUCAACCUGCUGAUUAGCUAAUGUGUGGUUACUAAUACAAUAUGGGAAACGGGUGUAAACGAGGAAGCAAAAGAUUUAUUAAUUUCAUGUGCUAAAUACUGUUUGUAAUAUAAUUAUCAAUACUGUGAAAAGAAAUCCUGGCUUCUUGUGAAAUGAGGCACAAGAAUUUUGUAUGGUAAACAGGCGUAUUUUCCCCUUGAUGCACACACAAUUUUCAUUAGAUUCAUAGAAUUUAAAGGCAGAAGAGGGACCAUUAGAGCAUCAAGUCUAACUACCUAUAAAACACAGGCCACAGAAUUUCAUCCAGUUACCCUGUAUCACAAUUAAUGGAAAGCAGGAGCCAGAUCCAGAGCUGGAUGCACAGCAGCGUUACCAAGCUGGAAUAAUGGUGGUUUAUACCAGCCGAGAAAUUGGCAGUGAAAAGAAAUGACAGCAGUUUAUGGAUUCUUUUUUUGCAUAAACCUAAAUGAAAAUGGUGACAUAUAUUUUAAUAGCAGUGAUGAAGGAGCUUUGAUGAAAGUGAGUUUUGCAAAAUAUUUUAAGCUUUAGAAGAAAUGUUUCUUUCCAAAGCCUUUCUGGGAUGACUGUGUUCCCAGUUGUAAUCAAAACUUGUCCCUCCACUGGAGGAAAGGCACAAAGUUAACAGAAGAAAAAUGUUUCUCUUUAAAUUGAAACCUGUGCCAAGAUUUGUGUGUGUAAUUAAUUCGAGCCCUAGGAUUUUAGCGGGAGAAGGAAGGACUAAAUAAUGCAAUAAAAGCCUGAAUUUUUCUAGAGCCAAGAGCUUGAACUCAAAAGUUCAACGAUUAAAAGUCUCAGGCGCUAAAAUGUAGAACCCGUGAUUUCUUUCAUUAGGUUCUAUAUUUGGCAAAACAAAAUGUCUCAUCACUCUUCUGUAGCCGUCUGUACGUGUGUGUGGACGAUGUUAUUAUACUUACUGCAGAUAGAGCCUUAUCAUUUAGCUACAGACAGACUUCUACCUGCUCAGAGCUACAGGGUUGAAGAAUGCACUCAGACAAUAUUGACAUAGCCAACGCCAUAACAUCCUGCAAUCUGCACAUAAACGUAGGCAUUCUGAAGACCAAAGCUCAACAAAAAAACUUCCUUCCUGCUGCCCUAAGCCAGGAGAGAGUGUUUAAAGGUAAAUACUGGUGUGGGGAGGAUAUCCUUCAGAUUCCCUCAGAUUCUCCAUCAUGUCCUAUCAGUUCUGUCUCAGGAGAAGGCAAAAUCUUUCCUGCCGUGUGAUGCAAAAAGCUGUGUCUAUGAUGUUAGCAUGCAGAAUAUAUGCGUAGGUUGCCCCAAAAGUAAUGCCUCCUAUUUAUUUCCAUGGAAACUGCAACAGGUACAAAGACCACAAUAACACUAUUUGACAGAGAAAACUUUCAGCUACAAAACACUAUUUUUUCAACAUAGUCACAACCACUAGCUAUGCAUUUUUGCCAGCAAUGAACAGGAGCCUGCAUGCCGCACUUGUAAAAAUCUACACCAGUGCAGAUUACCCACUGUCACUGUUUCCACUGCUGAAACACACCACCCCUUGCCUCACUGUGCUCAUAUUCACUGUUUGGUCUCCAUCAACAUUCAGCAAGCACUGAUUAAUGUCACUGGGUGCCACUUUUUCUGCAUGGAGGAAUUCAAUGACAUGCCUUUGCUUCAUGUGCACUUCUGUGUCAGACGCCAUUUUGUCAGACUGCCCCUCUGCUGCAGUCACAAGGCAAUAAAAUGUAAUGGUAUACUGACAGGUAUAGAGGUUCAGUCUCUACUGCCAUACCACCACCAUCCACCUCUGAUGUGAUGGGUCAGCAUUAUAAUAUAGAAUGCAUUACUUUCAGAGAAACCCUCAUAGAAAGGAUGACAGCUCCUUAUUCGAGUAACUGCUUAUGUGGAUAGAUAGCAGAGAGCUUCUCCUGUCAUAAUAUUCACGUUCUCAGUGAUUGUAAGUCAAGGGCUGGUUAGAGGCAUUUUAUACCUGCUUAAAAAAAGUAAACGGUAGUCAUAUAUUUUAAUAUUUCCCAUACUUUCCCCAAGAGCUUUUCCUCUUCAAAGUUAGAAGUCUGCCUCAACUUAUAACAGUACAUUUUUUGUGCCACUGUCAUGUGGAGGAAAAAUAAUUUUUGCCCAAAUAAACAUCAGAACACAUGUUCUAGUGCUUACCAAUAAAUCUUAUUUUUCUUGCCCUGUAUUUACUUUAAACAGGACUAGAGGAUCCAACCCUUCCUUGAGAAAUGAUGUUACUCCUUGUCUUUACCCAGAAAGAUUUGUACCCCAUCCUUUGAGAAAUAUUUAUUUACCUCCUCAUUUACUCGUGUUGUACCACUAUUUGGUAACAACACACUUGCCUUCAGACUCUACAACAGCAUCACAUGCUUCAGCCUACUGCAAACAACAUCUGCCUCAUGAGUACACCAGGCUCCUGAACUGUUCUUACCAAAACGCCUACACCUAAAGUUCAUUCAGCUCUCUGUACAAAAAUUGAGAAAAAAAAUACCUACCUGCUCUAUGCAUCUGGGCAAGACCAACCAACUGACAAUGCCUUAAAUACUGCCCCAGAACAUCAGCCUGCUAGCCUAUGUCAGUUGCUGGCAAUGCGUUGUGUUGUGUAAAGGCUACUCUUCAGUCUCUUCCUUCCUCAAUACAGCAUCAUUUGCCCAAAUAUGUGUGCAGAGUGUGCCAGUAUAUCUUCACUGAGAUGCAACAUAAGAUGAGGCAAAACAUGAGUGCCAUGGAGAGGCCAGACUGGGGAGGUUCUGACUGAGGUCUGAACUGUAUGUUGUGGGAAACUCAGUUUAGCCCUGUGUUUAUUUCUUGGUUCCAUCCUUCAUUUCCCAGGCCUCUAGGCUGACCUCCAAGGAACUUUAAAAAGAUUAUUUUCCAAAGGCUGAAAUUAGGGUAUUGCUGUAGAAAAAUUGGCUAUGGUUUACAGCCUUGCCAAAUUAAAUUUAGCUUCAGUAAAUGUGACAUGAAAUCUGUAUAGUCUCACCAGUUAAUAAAAGUCCUUCUUCAGCCUCAUCACAUAUAAAUAUCAGUAAUAAAAAUUUUUGACAAUCAUAAGAGCACUGUAUUGAAAGAAGCUUUGCAUUUUUAGUCUGGUGAUAAAACACAGUCUGCAUAUAGUUCCAUUUUGUCAUCUGCUUGUGGAGCACUUCUUUCCUACGCUGAAAUUAAAAUUGAAAAGACUUUUUCACUUUUGGGGGAAAAAAAGCACAAUUGAAGAGAGAUUCUUACUGGCAAAUUAAUAGAUAAGGUCUGCCAUGCUAACUCAAAAGCAAGCAAAAGGUAAAAAUUGAAUCUCUUUAUCACAGUUAAGUCAUUUUUCUAAACUGGAAAGUAAUAUAGGAUGGAAUAUAUGGGAUAGAUUCUCUUACAGAAAGUGCUUUCAAACUUUAAAAGAUCCAUAACUAAUAUUGGGAAUGGUUAUAGAUGACAGUCUUCUCUUUUAGAUUAUGUUGCAUUUAUUACAUUCUACCAGGACUUUAUGGAGAUUCUCAAGGAAUUAAAGUUAUAUUUAUGAUAAAAACAUGGAGCUGCUUCUAAAUAGCUUUUUCAUCAUAUUAACUGUUGCCUAGAUAACAGGCAUAUCUCCUCAAGCACCUCCAUUCUGGUUUAGCACUCCAGCUUGCAAAUUAAUACAGUCAUUAUAAGACAGCAAAGCUAUAUCACUUACCAUUUCAUUAUUGUUCAAAUCAAAAUCCACAUUUUUUCAGUUUUCCCUAGGGUUACAAACCGGAUAGGGAAAUGUUAUCAUCUUGCAAAAUAAUCUCUCAAGACUCACUCUUUGGUGUUAAAAGGAGCAGUUAAUCAUAUUACACUAAUUUUCAUAUUAAUAGGACCUGUGCAAAGAGAGAGUUAAUGCUCUCCUUCAUUCAGUCCUCCAACACUUUUUUAGGUACAGAUAUAUUUUUGUAUGUGUAUGGGUAUAUAUUUAUACAAGUAUAUAUAUAUUAAUCUGCUUAGAGCUAGAUUAGCACAAAAGAUAUCACGUCCUACUCAGUAGAUGAAUCAGGGUCAAACCAACAGCAUGCCCUUAAAUUUUUAAUCAAAAUGGCAAUCUGUCAUCACUAAGAGAGUUAGGUAAUGUUUAUGUGAAUAACAUGAACAUAUAGCAUGUUUUAAUGGAAGAUACAGGGGAUAACUUACUGUGCCACAGGGAAACACUCCAUAGAAUACCCUGCAGAUACUUCACUACUUACACAAGAAGCUACGAUCCUACAGCAUGCAUAUCCACUCUAAGAUGAAAAUUAUCUUUAAACUCGAAUUAUACUUUAUGAGGGAUUAAUGUGCCCUUUACUUUUGAGAUCUUCUCACAUGCUGUAAUUUUCUGAAAUCUUCUCACAUAAUGUUGCUCAGUCAGUCUCAUUUAGACUCAGAGCUUUAAUGUAGUGUUGCCAUUUCUUGUCUUUUUUUUUUCCUUUUUUCUUUUUUUCCCAGCUACUAACCUGAGCAAUGCGGUCUUUUCAGAAGAACUUGAGUAUGAAUUUAGGGAGCUGGCCAAGGAAUCAGGUGUUCUCCUUGUUUUAGGCAGUCUGAACAUAAUACAUGGGGCAGCUCUGCAGAGAGCUGAGGGACCUGAUUCUGCCAUGCUCCUUCUCUGGCCUGGUUCAUCACAGAGCUAAUAAGCCCUAUGAAUGGGUACGUGGAGCCCAGUGCCAACUUCAUGCAACUGCCUGGCUUCUGAACCAGUCCUCCCACCCCAUGAAGUAGAGCCUACCUCUUCUUUGGCAGUGCUGGAAGACAUUCCCUUGGUAAACCAUUGCUUUCUGCAGCCAUACGCCCCCACUUUGCUAAGGUCUGUUGUGGUAACAAUGCCAUCUCUCUCAGUGUCGUUACUCUCCACGCCUUUGUUCCCCAGGGGUCUGAUUGAAAUCAAUGGAAAGUUCCCUUGGAUUGCACUGGUUUUGGUUCUCAGUUUCUACUCCUUAAUUCCUCAUCUGUUUUUAACUCAGUUUUCAAUUUAGUCUCAUUCUGCUGCUGCAUUCUUCACGUCUUCUCCCACUUUUUUGUGCUUUUAUUCCUAUUUCUGACCCUCUCGACAACUGUUAAACUAUUUAUGCAGUGAGCAAAAUGCAGAUUAAACAAGUGCUUUCAGUGUUGAGUUGAAAUGUGUUGACAGCAUCGCAUGAGGCCUAGAGGAGCCAUGGAGAAGUGGCGCCAUUUUGGGAGAAAAAAAGCUAGGAAAAGAAUUCUCAUCAGAUUGGAGAGCUCACCAUGGUUUUCUAGCAGCAAUCCUGUCUGCUUUAAUGAAUUCAUUAGUCCACUACUAUUAUGCAGAAAUAAUUGUAACUGGUGAUAUUUUUAUGACUUGUUUAACGAAACUUGAGGGCAGAUGGAAUUGGGUUCUACCCUCACUAUACCAGCGUAAACUGAGAGCACUGUUAUUCAGACCUGUGUACUUGUGCUCUUCUUGAUUAACAGCACUUUAAAAGAAAUUAGACUCUACCAUAUUCCUGAAUUUCAGAUUGUGUACUGUAUUUCCAUUUAUAACCUGACAUAAUUCCCACACAGCACAUGGUAUUAAUCUGGUGUAAACACCACGUUAUGAUGAUACUUGAACACAUUCAGCUGAUGUGAAAAUGUCUUCAAGUACAAUAUUUCCAGAAGCAAUUAUGACUAUAUGGCUGGUAGUUAGCUUGCUAUGUGAAUUUUUAUUUCUUAUACAUGUGCACAAAGAUACACAAGAUUGAAUAUUAUGUAAGAAAAAUGAGGUAUUUUUUAGCAUUUGUUAAAAAAAAAAAAAAGAAGAAGAAUUCAGGAGCAACCACUUUUUUAUUGGCCUGUCAGGCCAAAAUCUCACCUUUAUAUGAACAAACCGCUUUUGUAGUGUUGGAAUUUCCUGUGCUUGCUUUUGAGGGUGGAUGUGUCUUUAGUGCAAGGAAUACAAUGACACAAAGUGAUACUGAGAACAUUUUGGUAUGAGAAAAUUCUCUCCAAAAUAAGCAUUUAAGGAAAUAUUUAAGUUCUCAGUAAGUGUAAUACUCCUGAUGUAUAAAGCUCCAGACAUUGACCUCUACUGGUCAUCAAGCAUUUUUCAGUGUUCACUGAGAGGGGAGAGACACCAGCUUCUUGUCCAGGUAGAUGCCAUGGGUGAAAUUCUUCAGAAAUUGCCUAACGCUGGAGGAAAGCCAAUAAUUUUGUUAAAAAGAGAUAAAUAAAAGCAUGUCUUUUGGAAAGUAAAUGCUAGCGGAUGGUAAUAUUUUUGCUUGAACACUUGCCAGUAGGGCCAGAUUCACAGCUGGUGUAAACUUUUCUGGUGCCACUGAGUUAACUCCAGUUUGAGAUGGAAAAUUCAUUUAUUAGGAUGAAGUGCAGCUUUUUCACAGAUUGCUUGUAGCUCCACCUGCUACCCACACUCUCCUUUUUUUUUAGCCCUUCCUAGUCCUUUUUUCCUCUUGAGAAUCCUUUCUUAAAUACACUCCUAAGACAAGAAAGAGAAGGCAACCUCAGUACCCAUAAUGAAAAGGAAAUGCUCAACAAUGCAGUUCUGUCAUUGUUAGUAUAAAUCUAUAAUGACUUCAUUUCAAUUACUUCCUACUUGUACUACAGUGAUUAACAGUAGGUUAAGCUGUUCACGGUUUAGUAAAGUGAGUGUUCCUAGCUUGUUCCCAUCAUCCAAUGCAAUGUCUUAGUUUUAGAAGAGACACGGAUAAAAAACUGUUGUGAAGUGAGUGGUAAAUCUGGAAUAACUCCAGUGAAAAUUUACACUAGUCUGGCUAAGAAUUUCAUUUUACCCAUUUGGUUGGAUUCCUUUUAAUGGUUUCUGCAUGUUCAAGCAUCCACCAGAGCUGAGAUGGAAACCAGCAAACUUGCUGUUAUCUGUGCUGCAGGCUGGACACCAGAGGUGAGAGGGUAAUGCAUUAUCACACCACACCACCUGGCCCAUCCAACGCAAUUCAAGCAACCAUAAUUGUAUUGAUUAUUUCUUGUGCUCAUGACUAAUGACCUCUAGCUGCAACCUUGCAUUUUCUAAAUCUUUUAUAUAUUCUGAUUUAAUAAUAAGAUUUGAUUAAAAAUUGCCAUUAGCCAUUGCCAACGAUUAGUCAGCAGGACUGAGUGCCGCCAAAUUCCAAUGAGUUUCAUUAUUCUGGAAUUAAAAAGGACAGAGAACUUCUCCGGGUUAACAAUACAAUGAUUCUGUCUCAAUCAGGAAUGAAAGAAAACAACUCUAACAUACAAAUGUAGCAAAAUAUAUGGCUAUUCUUAAUAGCUGCAUUUUACAGGGGAGUGUUUGGAGAAUUAAAGGGACUUUGUCACAGAUGGUAGGAACAGUUUGCUUUGAACUGGAAUGCCAGUGUCAGGUAGUGUUUGAGGGGGCAUUUUUCUAACGGAAGCCAUCUCCUUUGGUGAAACAAGACCUGGGGUUCACUUGGUUUCUCCACCAGCAUCUCUUCCACAACAAAACAAUGCAAAAUGUGUAUAGGCAAAAAUAAACUGGUGGCUUUAAAAAAUGACAAGGGUCAUGGUCUAGGUUAUGUGCCUGCUGAGAACAGAUUAACCUAAGGUUUUCUUUAAAUUAUUAUUAUUUUCAAAACAAUGGCUUAAUAUUUAAACAAAAAGACACGUUGUCACACCUUCCAUAGGAAAUAAAAAAAGUAUGGCCAUUCAGGAAGGUGGAAUACUUAAAUAUAUACUAAUUUUCAGACAUCUAGUGAAAUGCUGUUGAGGUGCUGUCUGGUAUGGAUAUAACUCAGCACACUAGCACACUUCUAAGAGCUCUUCCAAAUCCAAGUCAAGGCCCUGGUGUUCCUAGAGAUGGGAUUCACUGGAGAAGAUGCUCCAUGGGGAAAACAUCUGCUGUGGGAUGUGGUGUUCCCCCAGAUCCCAUUGAAAUCGGUUGAAGGGCUGGGUGACGUUGAAGUCAAUGAGAGCUGAGAGCACUCAGCACCUUUCAGGUUCAGACCCCUAAAUAAUAAAGGACCCCUGAGACACAGUAAAAGCAUCUCCCCCUGUUACACAGGAGCAAGAGAAAAUAUGUCCCAAACCCGAGUCCUCUAAGAUUUUUAGGAUGUUUGAAUAAAUAUAUAUAUAUAUAUAUUUUAGUUUUUGUGUACAUAAGAUCUUUUUUUUUUCACCUUCAGGAAAGUAAUUUCUAAGCAUAC
ensembl:lncRNA